rnacentral:rRNA from 1 species
AGCACGUAGGUGGGUUUGUAAGUCAGACGUGAAAGCCUUCUGUUCAACGGAAGAAUUGCAUCUGGAACUACAAACCUUGAGUGUAGGAGGGGAGAAUGGAACUUCUGGUGGAGCGGUGAAAUGCGUAGAUAUCAGAAGGAACGCCGGCGGCGAAAGCGAUUCUCUGGCCUAUUACUGACACUCAGUGUGCGAGAGCUAGGGGAGCAAACGGGAUUAGGUACCCCGGUAGUCCUAGCCGUAAACGAUGGGCACUAAGUAGAGGGGUUUU